rnacentral:tRNA from 1 species
GAUAAAAUGGCUGAGCAUAGGCAAUAAAUUGUAAAUUUAUUUACGGAUUUGGAAUCCUUUUAUUA